rnacentral:rRNA from 1 species
CCUGGUGGCGAGUGGCGAACGGGUGAGUAAUACAUCGGAACAUGUCCUGUAGUGGGGGAUAGCCCGGCGAAAGCCGGAUUAAUACCGCAUACGAUCUACGGAUGAAAGCGGGGGACCUUCGGGCCUCGCGCUAUAGGGUUGGCCGAUGGCUGAUUAGCUAGUUGGUGGGGUAAAGGCCUACCAAGGCGACGAUCAGUAGCUGGUCUGAGAGGACGACCAGCCACACUGGGACUGAGACACGGCCCAGACUCCUACGGGAGGCAGCAGUGGGGAAUUUUGGACAAUGGGCGAAAGCCUGAUCCAGCAAUGCCGCGUGUGUGAAGAAGGCCUUCGGGUUGUAAAGCACUUUUGUCCGGAAAGAAAUCCUUGGCUCUAAUACAGUCGGGGGAUGACGGUACCGGAAGAAUAAGCACCGGCUAACUACGUGCCAGCAGCCGCGGUAAUACGUAGGGUGCGAGCGUUAAUCGGAAUUACUGGGUGUAAAGCG